AACGAACGCUGGCGGCAGGCCUAACACAUGCAAGUCGAACGCCCUAGCAAUAGGGAGUGGCAGACGGGUGAGUAACGCGUGGGAACGUACCCUUCGGUUCGGAAUAACCCAGGGAAACUUGGACUAAUACCGGAUACGUGCGAGAGCAGAAAGAUUUAUCGCCGAAGGAUCGGCCCGCGUCCGAUUAGCUAGUUGGUGAGGUAAUGGCUCACCAAGGCGACGAUCGGUAGCUGGUCNGAGAGGAUGAUCAGCCACACUGGGACUGAGACACGGCCCAGACUCCUACGGGAGGCAGCAGUGGGGAAUAUUGGGACAAUGGGCGCAAGCCUGAUCCAGCCAUGCCGCGUGAGUGAU
rnacentral:rRNA from 1 species